rnacentral:lncRNA from 1 species
UCAUUCUUGCAUGAUGUAAGAAAAAUAAGUCUCCCCAUCGUUAUGGAGUUUCGUGUACAUAUCAUCUCCCAUAUUAUUUCUAGUUUUUUUUGAAACUUCAUAUUAUUACAAGUUUACAACUAUACUAAGAGAAUCUUUCCAUAUGUUUGAUCUGCGUUCAACUGUUCACAUACAAGAUUUUAGUCCUAAUCUUGCUUGUGAUGGGAGUGUCUAUUUUACCUAUGAAAUGCUUGAAUCGCUGCUGCUCAUAUUUUAACACUUACAUUUCAAUGCGAUUUAUGAAAAUAAAAAGCUCUAAAUAUAUUAAUACAUUAUGUUGGUUUUUGGAAGGAUCUUAAAGAAUCGUAAUGUUUAACACUACAGAGCAGUUCCUGCCAGUGCACAAGAGUUGAGACUUGGUAGAUAGACUUAAGGCCCAUUGAAUUCAUACGCACACACUCCUCAGUGACAAGAACCACAUCUUGUACCAAAAAAAAAAAAAAAGAACCACAUCAGUCAUCACAAACAUUUAUCUUCUGAAUUUGAGGAGAGCCUCAUAUAGUUCAACUUUCUAGUUGCCUCAAUACACCAAACUUGUCGUGUAUUCAUAACUCAAGUGGCAUUAAGUUGGCCACACAAAAUUCAUGAACAUUAGAGAGUAGUUUCUGACAUUGCACAAGAGUUGAGACUUGGUAGGUAUAGACUUAAGGCCCAUUGAAUUCACAUACAUGCACUCAUCAGUCAUACGUCACAAGAACCAAAUUACACUUAUCUUCUAAAUUUGCAGAGAACCUCAUAGUUUAACUUUCAAGUUGCCUCUAUACACAAAACUUGUCGUGUAUGCAUGAUUCAAGUGGCAUUUGGUUGGCCACACAAUUCAAAAGGCAAACGUUUACAAGGGACCAUUCACUUUUGUAACAUGCUUUUAGCCGUG